GUGACGGCAACGGCAACAGGUCCCUACACGCGGACAACGACAACACCUUCCCUAACCCGGCGACGGCAACGGCGCUACAUGUAGGGCUGGGCGUUCGAGCGGGUAAAAAAAUAAACAUGGGCUAAUCCGGGUAAAUAUUUUCUUCAACUUGUCAUACAGUGUUAUUUUCCCAAAUACUUUUCAUUAAAAAGGAAAAGUAUUGAAAUAUGAUGUAAUAUGGGUGUAUACAAGUAUAUCACACUGUAUAUCAGUGUAUACAGGCAGAGCUAGUUAAGUGAGUUCUUAGGUUGAUAAUUAGCUUGUGAUUAGUUUUAAUGAUUAGAUGACAUCUGUCAUUAGCUAUAACUGAAUUCAGUUACAUAUGCGCAUUAUAUAAGUGCAUGUGUGCUAUGUAAUUAUGGCUCGAUCAAUCAAUAAAAAAUAUCUUCUUCUUCCCUCUU